AUUGAACGCUGGCGGCAUGCCUUACACAUGCAAGUCGAACGGCAGCGCGGACUUCGGUCUGGCGGCGAGUGGCGAACGGGUGAGUAAUACAUCGGAACGUACCCUGUUGUGGGGGAUAACUAGUCGAAAGAUUAGCUAAUACCGCAUACGACCUGAGGGUGAAAGUGGGGGACCGCAAGGCCUCACGCAGCAGGAGCGGCCGAUGUCUGAUUAGCUAGUUGGUGGGGUAAAGGCCCACCAAGGCGACGAUCAGUAGCUGGUCUGAGAGGACGAUCAGCCACACUGGGACUGAGACACGGCGCAGACUGCUAAGGGAGGCAGCAGUGGGGAAUUUUGGACAAUGGGGGCAACCCUGAUCCAGCAAUGCCGCGUGUGUGAAGAAGGCCUUCGGGCUGUAAAGCACUUUUGUCCGGAAAGAAAUCGCGCUGGUUAAUACCUGGCGUGGAUGACGGUACCGGAAGAAUAAGCACCGGCUAACUACGUGCCAGCCGCCGCCGUAA
rnacentral:rRNA from 1 species